UACGGAGGGUGCGAGCGUUGUCCGGAAUCAUUGGGCGUAAAGGGCGCGUAGGUGGCCCGGUAAGCGUGCGGUGAAAGCGCGGGGCUCAACCCUGCGUCGGCCAUGAAUACUGCCGCGGCUGGAGCACUGUAGAGGCAGGCGGAAUUCCGGGUGUAGCGGUGGAAUGCGUAGAGAUCCGGAAGAACACCGGUGGCGAAGGCGGCCUGCUGGGCAGUUGCUGACACUGAGGCGCGACAGCGUGGGGAGCAAACAGG
rnacentral:rRNA from 1 species